UUUUUUUAAAAGUGGUGGUUAUUCUCCAAGUUGCCUUCACCAGUAAUGCUUCUAUCAGCUGAGCAUCCCUCUGUAUAAUGUAUACUAACAGAUUGAAAUGAAUAUCUCCCUUAUAUCUCCCUUCAGGUCGAACAACCUGUGGAAGUUUACCACGACGAGGAAUACAGAUCCAAAAGAUGGCACUUCCCUACUUACAACUUCACCGUAUCAAACCUUUGGUCCCCAUUCCUGGUACAGGCAGCCAUCUUCGAAGACUACAAUGGAGUCUCAACAUCCGAGGUCCAGUUACAGCUCGACAAACUCGACAAGAGCUGGGUAGAUGUUUACCAGAGCUUGAACUACAUUAUAAUCUCAACUGGGAAAUGGUUCCUGAAGGCCGCCGUAUACCACGAAAACAACACAAUUGUCGGCUGCCACAUCUGCCCUCAAGGAAAGAACCUGACAGAGACCGGGUUCGACUUUGCGUAUGAAAAAGCCCUGAGCUUCGCUCUGAACUCCAUCGUGGGAUCGAAGCACAAGGGACAAAUCUUCUUCAGGACAUCCACACCGGAUCAUUUCCAGAGCGGCGAGUGGCACAAUGGAGGGAACUGUCUGCAGACAGGACCGGCUAAAGAAGGCGAAUUCGCUAUGAAGGAGGUCAACAAGAUCUUAAGACAAGUGGAGCUGGCUGAGUUUGAUAAGGCAGCCACGAAAGCAGCUGAAUUUGGGGUGAACCUGAAACUGAUUGAUUUCACCAACCUGCUGUUGCCAAGGCCUGACGGGCACCCCGGUGCUUACAGACAGUUUCAGCCGUUUGCGGAAGACAAGAACGCUACUGUUCAGAAUGACUGCCUGCAUUGGUGCUUGCCCGGUCCGAUUGAUUACUUGAACGACGUGAUCAUGGAGAUGGUGGUGAAUGGUUGAUGGAAGAUUUGUUUGUAUUAUUAUUUAACCGUUUCAAAUUCUUUUUUGGAGGUCUGGUUCAUGAUCAUGAUGCAGUUAAAGAUGAAGAGCAGUCGGGGGCUUCAGGCAAGUAAUACCAGUUUCCAUUAGUGUAUAGCAGCUGUUGCCCUGUUCAUCUUUGCAUAAGCGUUAGAGCUUCUAUGAUUGUACAUGAAAUUUACAGGUAAGUCGGAAACUGGUAUGAUUUGUAUGGUUUACGGGAUAUAUAGAUAUUUAUAGAGAAGUCAUUGCCAGGAGAGCAAAGGUGGAGUAAUAGUGUGCUGGUGGUCAAAGAGAGCCAAGGUUGAGCGCUUCUAAAAUCAAUCAAUCAGGUGGUUUUUGGAAUUGGGAUUGGAGAGAGUGACGGCAAGAGUGUGGUUGUGAGUAUAAAUGGUGAGCUAGUCCAUUAUAUCAAACAAGGGCUUCAAACCAAAUCAUACGAUUGAAGCCCACAACCAAUAGAAGCCCACAACCAAAUAGAAGCCCAUUAAGCUCCCCCCUGUUUGAAUUUCGAAAACCAAAGUUAACCGUUGCAGACUUCAUAUAAAUCCCUUCGCCUCAUUCUUCUUCCGUACUCACAGUUCCAAUCGCCCUCCCGAAUUUUGAUCCCUCAAGAUCUCUCGUUUCACGUCUUACAAUCCCAGUCAUGGCGGAAGUCGCUGAUGUUCCCGCGAAGAGAGGUAGGAAGAACACCAAGAAAGUUCUGGAUCAGAAGAAAUCCACUACCAACGAGGCCAACAUCUUGGCUCAGACGCUCGCAGCCGACUCCUCGCCCUCCGUGGUUCCUCCGCCGUCGUCGUCGGAUGCCGAUUCUAUGAAGGAGAAUCGUGAUAGCAUCUCCUCGUCCAAGAAGGGGAAGGCGGUCAAAGGCGGCAAACAGAAGCCGUCGUUUGAGAAGGAGAUGGAAGAGAUGCAGGAAAUGCUUCAGCAGCUGAAGCUGGAGAAAGAGAAGACGGAGGAGAUGUUGAAGGAGAAGGACGAGAUGCUGAAGGCAAGGGAGGACGAGCUCGAGAACAAGGGGAAAGAGCAGGAGAAGCUGCAGUCGGAGCUCAAGAAGUUACAGAAGCUCAAGGAGUUCAAACCUACACUCGUGAGUACAAUUUAUUUGUGUUUUUUUAUUGUUUGGUUUCAGUGCACUCAAGGUGUUUGUUGAAAUGCCUGGCAGCAUUUUCAGAUAUUGAAAGAUAACGAGCCAGACGACAAGAGUAGGAAUAAGAAGAAGAAAAAGAAGGACGGGACUGAAAUGAAAAGGCCAUCAACGCCUUACAUCCUCUGGAGCAAAGAUCAGUGGGCUGAGGUAACAAUUGCAAUCCGAUCGUCCUACUUUCCAGUAUCCAUAUCGCAGAUAUUUAUAAUCUAUUAUGGUUUGUGAAAUUUGUUAACUAUAUAGAUCAAGAAGGCGAACCCAAAUGCUGAUUUUAAAGAGACCUCCAACAUUUUGGGAGCCAAGUGGAAGACUGUAACUGCAGAAGAGAAGAAGCCAUACGAGGAGAAGUAUCGUGCUGAGAAGGAAGCUUAUUUGAAGGUGAUGGCGAUGGAGAAGCGUGACAGAGAACAAGACUGAGAACAAGAGUGUUACUGAGUUUGCGAAGCUUGCUGGUGAGGAAUGGAAAACCAUGACAGAGAAGCAGAAAGCACCAUAUGAAGAGGUAUUUUUUGAGCAACCAUUUCUUCUUUAACCGUAUAUAAGCAUUGCACGCAGGGGCGUUUGUCUAACUCUAAGCCUUGUUUUGUGAAGAUGGCAAAGAAGAACAAGGAGAAAUACUUGAUUGAGAUGGAGGCUUAUAAGCAGAAAAAGGAGGAAGAAGUCAUGAAUGUGAAGAAGGAAGAGGAAGAAGUGCUGAAGCUUCAAAAGCAGGAAGCAAUGCAACUGCUAAGGAAGAAGGAGAAAACAGACAACAUAAUCCAGGUUUGCCAAGUCGAGGAUUAGUAUUUUAGUUUAGUGGGUAGUCCCCUUGGGUUGAACUGUGAAUGGUGGGUUCUGCAGAAAACAAAAGAGGAAAUGCAGAAGAAAAAGAAGAGCAAGAAUAUUGCUGCAGAUCCUAACAAGCCAAAGAAGCCUGCAACCUCUUUUCUCUUGUUCAGGUAAACCACCAGCUCUUAACACUUGAUGAAACUUCGUCUUGAGAACACAUUGACUAAAUCUGGAAUCGAUGCAGCAAGGAAGAAAGGAAAAAAUUAAUGCUGCAGCAGCGGCCGGGAAGCAACAACUCUACCCUGACUGCACAAAUCUCUGUUAAGUGGAAGGUAAACAAAACGAACAAACAAAUUAGGAGAUUUUCAAGGCCAAUUCCAAAUUUCACAAUGCUUAGUUAAGACCAUGGUACAUGUGAAUCUUUACCGAUAAGAUGUUUGUGUUUUUUUCCCUAUAGGAAUUGAAUGAAGAGGAGAGGAAGAUAUGGAAUGCAAAAGCUGCGGAAGGCAUGGAGGUUUACAAGAAGCAAAUGGAAGAGUACAACGAGACACGCGGCUCCCAAAAUCCACACUAGUUAGUAAUAGUAGUAGUAGUAGUAGUAGAAGAGAUGUUCAAAUUGUCGAGUUGAACAUCAAUUCCGAACGUCGUUGAACAUUCCAACUGUGCAAAUCAGUAAAACUUGUUUGAAUCGUCUUGCUCUGGAAGUGGUCUCUUAAAAGGUGCCCUUCAAAACACAGAUCAUCUAUGUCAGAAUGUUUCUGUUAAAGUUUGCAAUUGAGAUUUACAUAGAAGCGAGGGAGAUUAAAUUACCGUGAAUAUUGUUGUGGCCAGUAGAUGGUUACUUCAAGUUUACCUAGACCGGCCCCUUCGGUGGUGAGGGGCGAAAGAUCAGAAUCAACGUCAAUCAAGUUGUUGAAUCCCUUCAAAUCCAAAUAUAUACUAUCCAUGGUAGCAAAUGGUAGAUCUGAGAUGGGCAGUCUUUCCAACGACGAGCAAGUCCUCAUGAGUAACUCUUUUAAGGACUUCAAAUCUCCAAGUCCCGCAAUCUCCCGCAAAGCUGGAAGGUCUUCCAGUCUUAAUUUCUUCAGCUUGCCUAGCCUUGACAGCCAAGGUAGUCUCUCCACUUUCGGCAAUUCGUUUUCGGAAAUUCGUAAACCUCUAGUUGCCCCAACUCUUCAAGAUUGCCAAUCUCUUCUAGUAGCUGAUGCUGUUGCUCGCUCGUUGAUCCCUCGUAACUGCUUCCUGUGUAGGGAUAACGAUAAUAUAUUUGUAACGGGUCAAACAGGAUAAAAUUUGAAGUUUUUAAACCAAAAUGUUGUCAAGCCUACCCAUUAUCUUUAAUUCCUUGAGCAUUGGGAACUUGGACAGCCUGAGAAUUGAUCCACCAUCAAUGGAUGGACUGUACUGGAAUUCCAGUUUGAGUAAAGAUUCAAUUUGAUCUAUCUCUCUUUCGAAUGUUAGUACUCCACGAAGAAGAGGACAUUCAUAUAUGCACAACUCUUUCAACCUGCACUUGGACGUAGAAUUAGACAAGAGAUUCUCAAGGCCAUCAAUACGAGUCAAUUUCGGAGCAACGUAUAUAGUGAGAAUCUGCAAUGAUUUCAGCCCUCCGAGACCUUGGACCUCUUGAAGAUUAGGACAGCGACGAAUUCCCAAUUCUGUCAAGUUGCUUAGAUUCUCUAGAGUCGGAAUUCGGUCCGAAUGUACAGUGUGGAGUUCUAGCUUAGUGAGGGAUGAUGGUAGCAUGGUGGUGCUCGGACUUCCGACCAUAACUAUCCUCCUCAUGUAGUGAAGCUUGAUGGAUCUCAACUUGGCCGAAGUAACCAACCAUGGCAUAAUCAUAAGUUCUGUGGUCUCCUUACUUCCUUCGAUAGACAAUUCUUCUAAAUCCAACAGCUCUUCAAGAUUAGCAAAACCAGAAGAAGUGUACAGAAGCCUUAAACUUUUGGGUAGCUUAAUCCCUUCCAAAACAUCCACUAAAUGACGACUCUCAACAUUCAAGAUUUUGAGCGAGGUCAAUUCCUCUAUAUCGGCAAUCGCUCUUCUGAAACUGUCAUGAUCACAAUUAGUGUUGUGGAGAUAGAGCUCCCGGAGCCCCUUCAUCAUCGUCCCAAUGGUGCCACCUUUGAUCGUUCCAAGCUUACAAGAACCUAAUCGUAACACUUUAAGGUUACACAACGUCCCAAUUUCGAGGUCUUCCUUGCGAUUCUCGAACCACAAAAUCGACAGUAUCUCUAGGCUUCUAGAUUCUGGAAAUUCUGGAAGUUUUCUCAUCAUGUCACAGGGACCAAGAAUUAGAACUUUCAACUUAUUUGCCUCCUGUAUGAUACAUGCACAGAUCGAGUUAGAGAAGAAAUAUAAAUCAUGAAACCAGAGAAAGAAAUAAGUAGCAUGAUCUCACUGACUGUCAACUAAAAAAAACAAACCUUUGCUGUGAUGUAGUCAUACGCAAAACCGGUAACAUAAAAUAUGAUCAAGUUCUUCAUAUUGAAGCUCGCCCUAGAGCGCAUUGGAUAACUAUAUUUCGAGAUAUCAGCAACUCCAAAAUGAAUCCACUUUAAAUUAGGAAGAACAUGACUGAAAUCUCCGAUUAGCUCCGUGUCUUUCCCCUCAAAAUAUCUCAAUUCUGUCAUAUUCGUAAAACAUCCAUUUCUGAAACCUAAAGCAUGACUUUUUGAGUAUGCUCUCAUGGCUCUUACUUGAUUUGUUCCCUGUAGACAACAGUUUCAACAAAUCACAACAAGUUAGACGGGACAAUAGACAAGCUAAUGCAAUUAGACAAGUCAUAUACCUUGUUGUUAACUAAAACAUUGUUAGCUUCCUCCUCUAACCAUAUUCUGCUUCUCAUUUCUGGAUGUUCAAUAUUUUCUUUGCGGAUAAUUUCUCUACCCAUAUCUCUUAAUUGAUCGUGCAUCAGGAACUCAUUAUGAUCCCCAAUUUUGAGCAGAGAUCUUUGAACAAGAACAUUGACGUUAAUGACGGGACUAAAUUUGCAAUCGCUCCACAUGUAAGAAGCCAUUUCUUUAUCCUCUCCGAUGUGGAAGCAAGAAAUAUCUAGGAAUAUUUGUUGCGCUUCGUAGUUUAAAGAGUCGUAGCUAAUUAUUAACCUAUCAAUUACACCUUUCUCUGGCAUUUGCCGUAACUGCUCCAAUUUGGCUUUCCAGACAACUUCUUCUUCUCGGAAAAGAAAUGACCCUAUAACCGUAAGUGUCAAUGGAAGUCCUCCUGUGGUGGAUACGAUAUUUUCUGAUAAGGCCUCAAAACCUGACGGUGGAAAAUCCUUUCUAAAUGCAUGCUUGCAAAAUAAUUGAAGCGAGCGACUAGGACUCAUUACUGAAACUUCGUACAAUUUGCUUUGAUCUUCGCUUAACCUCCUUAUGACCUUUAGAUCUCUCGACGUUAUGAUAAAACGACUUUCUGGAUUAAAAUUCUUCAAACUUCCCAAGACAUCCUGAAAAUUGAACUUUUCGUCUAUAUCAUCGAGAACCACAAGGAUCUUGAACUGAGUCACCCUCUCUCGUAUGAUUUUCUUUGCUUCAACCACUGAUCCAACUGAGUCCAUCCUCAAGAUAUUAGAAAGUAACUUCUUUUGUAAGACAAGAACACCAUCUGCUUGUUUUUGUGUUUCUCGUAUAUCUUCCACAAAACUAUAACGAUCAAAGCAGACAGAAAUUUUGUUAUAGACAGCUUUUGCAAGCGUGGUCUUUCCGAUACCACCCAUGCCAUGAAUGCCAACUAGAUUCACACCUUUAGAGCCCAUAUCUAGCAUAUCUUCUAUUUGUUUUAUCUGGUCAUUAAUUCCAACCAACUUAUCAAUCUCUAAUACGUUGUUAUUCUUACUUAGAUGCGACCAUACAACUCCAGAAACAUCAUCCGCAACAUCAACCUCCCUGUAAAAAGUAAGGUUGUCAUGAAUUUAAGAAAAACCAUCCCAACCACAUAGGAUUUUGUGUAUUUCCUAGAGCCAACUAUAUUACAAAAUAAAUUAGACAACAAAUAACUUAAGGUACAAAAUUACUUACUCUUCUUUAGUUUUGAUGUGCCACCCUUUUAAAGAUCCAACCUCAGUCAAAGCAGCUUUCCAACUUUCUAUAGUCUUUUCAUCAAAGUUAUUUCUUUUGUGUUGUUGAAAAGCAGUUUGAUAAGGUCCAGUUUGAUGGCGUACAUCCCGAGGAUUCACAUUAUAGAAAAUGGGAAGUAUGAUAUGUCCUUUUUCUCGCUUUCGGUGUUCAAUAAUUUCGAUCAAUUCUUUGAGACACCACUUGCUCUCGGCAUAGCAAGGUGAAAAGAUAGGAAUAGAUAUUUUUGACUGACCAACAGCUUUAACAAGGCUUGGCCAUAUUCCUUCCCCCUUACGGAGUUCAUCAUCAUCUAUGAAUGUACGGAUUUUCAAGUUAACAAGGAAACGGUGGAGGAUUUUGGUAAUCUCAUUGCGUGUAUCUGGACCUCUAAAAUUCAGAAAAACCUCAUACUCUCCGAUGGGAAGGUGCACCAAAUCAGAAUCUCCAGAAUCAGAGGUAGAAUCUAAUUGUUGAGAAGUAUCAUCAUUUGGGUGAUCAUGAUCACAACUUCUCCUCAUCCUUCCCCAAAACAGCUUAAAGAAAGCAAUAAUGGCGACAACCAUUGCGGCUCGUCCUAUGUAGUUCAUGUCUACCCCUAAUAUGAAAACACACGCAGGCUACAUAAAAAUUGAAUUCAAAAUGCAAAGAGGAUAAGGUAAAUAAUACAUACAGCUGAAUAAAACGAUGCCAAUGUGCUCUUGAUGCAGUCCUUUUUGUCUUCUGUCUUCUGUCUUCUGUCUUGGUCUUGGUCUGGGUCUUGGUCUUGGUCUUGGUGGGUGUGUGUAUAUAUAGAGAAAGAUAUAUGCAAGGCAAAAUGAAUGUUUCUCUUUACUUUGUCCUAAAGAAAUGUAGUUGUACUUAUAUUCGUUUAGUACAAUACAAGAAAGGGAUAUAUAACAUUUCUGAUUCUUUAAUUGAACCAGGAUGCUUCAAUGCACAAAUUUAUAUUUGAAAUUUUUUAUAGCCAAAUUUUAUUUAAAAAUAACGGAUUUUGACACCUUCCAGGUUAAAUAAAGAAAAGCGGUAAUUACUCGGGUUGGGCUGCGCCGUGCAGCAUAGUUGACGAAAGUUCGUUCUAUGAACACAUUGACUAAAUCUGGAAUGGAUCCCUCUACCAUGGCUCCGCUGCAGCAAAGAAGAAAUGAGAGUACAACAUCAAGUCAUGUGCCUCCCAGAAUCAACACUAGUUUACUGCUACUAGUAGUAUAUCAAUUGGAAUUGACCACAGCAGAUAUAGAUGUUUAACUUGUCGGGUUGAACAUCAAGCAACUGAGUUUUCUUUAGCCUUUCUGGAUCUGACUUUUCAAUCUUGUGUGCUUGUGAUGAUCAUGAUUUUCAGAUUCUGAUGAAGCACAACAAAAAAUUCCACUCAUCGUUGAAUAUUCCGGAAUCUGAAGCUUGGCGUCGACUUCACUAAUCAGAUACCUGUGGCGAUGGAGAAGCGUGAGACUGAAGCCAUGAGACUUUUGGAAGAGGAGCAGAAGCAAAAGACAGCCAUGGAGUUGCUUGAACAGUAUGUGCAGUUCAUGAAUGAAGCUGAUGAUCAAGGGACCAAGAAGACUAAGUAACUAAUAAAUCGUCCCCUUUGGAUGUGUCUAUGCUCCAUUCAUCCUAUGCUGAUUCAUUUGUUUUGUUGUUGAACCGUAGGAAAGAGAGAGAUCCAUUGAAGCCAAAGCAACCAACGUCAGCUUUUUUCAUCUUCUCUAAUGAGAGAAGGGCUGCCCUGGUUGCUGAGACAGAGAACAAGACUGAGAACAAGAGUGUUACUGAGUUUGCGAAGCUUGCUGGUGAGGAAUGGAAAACCAUGACAGAGAAGCAGAAAGCACCAUAUGAAGAGGUAUUUUUUGAGCAACCAUUUCUUCUUUAACCGUAUAUAAGCAUUGCACGCAGGGAUGGUUUGUCUAACUCUAAGCCUUGUUUUUGUGAAGAUGGCAAAGAAGAACAAGGAGAAAUACUUGAUUGAGAUGGAGGCUUAUAAGCUGAAAAAGGAGGAAGAAGCUAUGACUGUGAAAAAGGAGGAGGAAGAAGUGUUGAAGCUUCAAAGGCAGGAAGCAAUGCAACUGCUAAAGAAGAAGGAGAAAACAGACAACAUAAUCAAGGUUUGGUUUGCUUUUAACAUAUCCAAGUCGAUGAUUAGUAUUUUGGUUUAGCGGGCAUCCAGAGUCCCCUUUGGUUGAACUCUAAAUGGGUGGGGUGUUGCAGAAAACAAAAGAGGAAAUGCAGAAGAAAAAGAAGAGCAAGAAUGCUGCAGAUACUAAGCAGCCAAAGAAGCCUGCAACCUCUUUUCUCUUGUUCAGGUAAACUUGUUGUCUGUCUCAACUCACAACAUGAAAGUUGGUUCUAAGAACACAUUGACUAAUAAUUAAUCUUGAAUGGAUCCCUCUACUUUGGUUCCGUUACAGCAAAGAAGAAAGGAAAAGGUUGAUGCAGGAGCGGCCGCCGGGAAGCAACAACUCCACACUGACUGCAGAAAUCUCUGUCAAGUGGAAGGUAAACAAACUUUCAUGUGGAGAUUUUCAAGGUGAAUCUUCUUACCUAUGGGAAUGGGAUGUUUAUGUUUUGCUUAUAGGAAUUGAAUGAAGAGGAGAGGAAGAUAUGGAAUGCAAAAGCUGCAGAAGGCAUGGAGGGUUUACAAGAAGAAAAUGGAAGAGUACAACAACAAGUCAUGUGGCUCCGAGAAUCAACACUAGUUAGUAGUAUAUCAAUUGGCAUUGACCAGAGCAGAUAGAGAGAUGUUCAAAUUGUCGGGUUGAACAUCAAAGUAUUUCUGGCUUCCGGAUCUGAAUUUUUCUUAAUGUUGCCUGCUUGUGACUUUAUAAAAUACUUGUCGGUUCGAAGAUCCGUUCAUCUUCAGGUUGUAGCUUUUGCUAUCACAUCACAAAUCAGAAUUUAAAUAAAAUGCAUGAUGUUAAACUCUAUCGGGUUAAUUUUUAACGACUCAACGUCAAACCUCUCCCCUUAAAAUAUGAUUGACCAUUCUUAACUUGAUUGGAAUAACCGCAAAUAAAACAAACCACUUGUAUAUUUUUUCAUCAUAAAGGAGGCCCUUAGAAUUUUACAAGUGGGGAUUGUAUUGUUUUAGGACCCCUCUGUCUUUUAUAUCAAGUCUGGUGACCAAACUGCUAUUUCACCUAAAAGCGGGAAAUGUCCUAUGCUCUCCUUCACUCUCAAACCUCUCGUCUGUUCUUCUCUUUACUCCUCAGUCCUCUCCCUUCUUUCUCCCGAUUAACCGCCGGUGACCGACCUCCAGUGACUACACUAUCUAUCUCGCCCGAAACCCUAAGUCACAACUCAGGAUGGCGAUCUCCCGUUUCUUCAUCUUAGCUUCUAGGGUUCAAACCUCCAGCUGCCACCGGCUUCUUACUACCCAAAUCCACCACACAUUCCCAUUCUGCCGGAAAGACCCACCACCGCGGCGAAGAAAGUCCCCUCCGCCGUCACCGCACAUGGCCAAACCUGCCAGGACCCUUAUCAAUGGAUGCGGAACACAUCCGACCAGGACUUCCUCGACUACAUCCGCCGGGAGAACUCCUACGCCGAUGAUAUCAUGCCGGAGGCCGACCAGUUGCGGCGGACUCUCGUCAGAGAAAUGCUGAGUCGGAUUCCGGAGAAGGUGACCUCUCCUCCUCAACGUUCGGAAACUGGUGAGUGAUUGAAGAAGAAUUAAAGCUCUCGUUUUUUUCUAUUUAUCUUUGUAUGAUUUUUUGUUGACAAUAAGGCUACGUUUAAUAAGUAUUUCAUUAGCUAAUCAGUAAAUUUGAGUUUAUUAGCAGUUAGUUUCAGAAGUGGCCUUGUUAGAAACUGCCUGGCAGUUUAGGCGUUUGGCUUAAUAUUGGUGUAAGACGUUGGAGUACAGAUCUCUUACCAAAGGUUAUAAGGUCUAUUUUCCACAAAUGAAUAAGUUGGAAAUCUCCAGGGAUGUACACUUCAUUGAGGAGGAGAAAUGGAAUUGGAAUGGAGCUGGAGAGGAGUCCUCUUCCAUAGUGCCAGAAAUGGAGCUUGGACCGACUGAGCUUACACAUCGUGGAUAGGUGAUUGCAUUUGCUGAUGUCAGGUUUGUUUUCUCUUACGAACUUCUUUAACAAACAAGUUUCUGUAAUGUAUGCUGGAAGUUGCAGGUUCCCACCACUGUUUUUGCUAUGGCAGGGGAGGUGGACGAGGCUGGGGAGAUGAAGGAGGCAGCGAUUCUUUGUGGCAUGAAUCAGGCACCAAACUAGCCAAACCAAAAUCGAUUCAUGAUUUCGUGUAAUGUGGGAGCUUCCUUGUAGAUAAAAGGGUAUGUUCACAGCAAGAAACUUGCUGCAGAAGGCGCAAGUGCAGGAGGGCUCCUUGUUGCAGCUGCAAUCAAUAUGAAGACUGAUCUUUUUCGUGCCGCAAUCUUGAAGGUUCCAUUUCUGGAUGUCUACAACUCAGUGAUGGAUCCGAGCUUGCCUCUAACAGAAUUCAGCUACGAAGAGUACAGGAACCCACAGACCUUACGAAAACAUCCAGCGCGGAACGUGCCAGCCAGCAAUGCUCGUCACAACGUCAUACAACGACUCUAGGUAAGAAACAAAAAACGAAAAACGCUCGAGCCUUUUUACCUUGCCUUGGUUAUAAUAUCAGUCAUAUUUUGUUUGUUUGCAGGGUUGGAGUGUGGGAAGCGGCCAAGUGGGUAGCCCGAUUGCGAGAUGUUACAUGCCCUAGCUGUUCGAGAUCUGUGGUGCUCAAGACGAACAUGAACGAAGAGACUGCUUAUGAAUAUGCUUUCCUUAUGAAAGAUUUAGGCCAUUGUGAACUGAAUGAAAGAGUAUAACAUGCCGUGCCUCCUAGAAUUACAUUCGUUAAGUUGAGUAAUACUGGCAAAUUGCCAAAUUCCAUCUUAAAAGUAUAGAACGUGCAUGCAAUGCAUAACUCUGGUGUUGACAUGUCAUCUUAAAAAAUACAAAUAGAGUGUUGUACGUUGCAGAAGCGCCUACCAAAAUUCCACGUAAUUCAAGGAAUGUUCCAAAAUUUCAAAUUUACACACAAAAUUGAAGCGGUCGUUAGAGAUUAGAUCAGAUCACCCUUUCUUUCAUUCUUUCCAAUUGAUUCCGGAUUCGUUUCCGCCCGCCAAAUAUAUAUUGUCCAAACGGUCAGUCAAAAAUGCCGCCGCCACCUGUACAACCUGAGCCGCCUACGUGGCUUCUUCAGCUUACUGUUCCGGCCGACACCUGGCACUCCCCCACCUGACCUCUUCCCCCCUAUAUAUACUUAUAAUCCGCAGUAUGUUUGUUCAUGAAGAACGUAGAAAAGGAGAGAUUUCCUUCUUCAAUUCACCAGAGAACGAUUCCCUUUUUCCAGGGUAGUGAUUUGGUUGAAUUUUAAACUAUGGUUUCUUCACCGUCGUAUAUCAACAAAAUCAAGCGGAUCAUUCAAUCGUCUGAAGAAGAAGAAGACAGCGACAACCGGUCCACCACCGGCGCUGCGGAAUCAGGAGAGUCGUCGUCGUCGAGCCGCUGCAGGAGCGUCUCUCACGGACUGGUCUCCGUGAUCGGACGGAAGAGGGCGAUGGAGGACGCGGUGGCGGCGGUUCCGGGGCUGGAAGUAGGCGGAUUAGACAACUACUUUGAUUUCUUCGCUGUGUACGAAGGCAGGGGAUUCGGAUCCGCCGUGUCGGCGUCGUGCAGGAAGCGGAUGCAUCUGCUGGUUGCUAUGGAGGCGGAAAAGAAGAGGAUCGGGGGGAAGGGAACUGAUCAGGUGAUGAUGUGGAAGGAAUUGAUGGCCAAUAGCUUUCUGGAAAUGGACAGGGAGAUCCGUUCGGUUGAUCACCAGCAGCUGGAGUACGACGCCGCCGGCUAUGACGAGUAUGAGGAGGACGCAGAGGUCGAGAAGUCCACGGCGGGGGGGGGGGGGGGGGGGGGGGGGGAGAUCGUCGUAGCCAAUUCCGGCGAUUGUAAAGCCGUUUUAUCCCGCGGAGGCGCCUCCCUGCCUUUAUCCGCCGGAAACAGAGUAAGAAUCUUUAUACUGAGUGGAUUGCUUUUAUGAUUGUGGGCUGGGCCUGGGCCGGCCCAUGUUUGUGCCACGGGAUCCAACUGUAAUUGAAAAUUUGAAUUUUCUCUAAAUCGCAGCCUGACUCGCCGGAGGAGCAUCGUAUCGCCGGAGGACAAGUUGCUAUUACUGCUUCAAAUGCAACAGGUUUAAUUUGGCGACAGGAAAAAAUUGAAUUCCUAUUGAAUUUAUGGUAUCGUUUUUUAUUUCAAUUAUUCUGUUGGUGUUGCUGUUGUUGUGCAGGAGACGAUUCUGACGUUCGUCGUGUGAUAUCGGAGCCAGAGGUGACGGUGACGGAGCGGAGUGAAUCGGACGAGUUCAUAGUAAUAGCGUCGGAAGGAAUGUGGGAUGUGGUCCCCAACAACGCUGCAUGUGCUGCAGCCGCCAAGUGUUUCGACAGCGGGAGGAGGAUGGGGUUCGCCGACGACACCAGCGAGAAUUGCGCGGCGGGGACGGCGGCUUUCCUGGCUGAGCUGGCGAUUGCUCGAGGGAGCCGGGAGAAUAUCAGUGUCAUUGUUGUGAAAUUGUAAGGAAAGAGUAGUGAAACAUGAGGAGAAAAAAAUAUUACUGUAAAAUAGCUUUUUUACUGUAAUAUAAAAAUCCAGUUUUGUAGUUUUGAACAAACGUGAGUGUAUUAAUCUUUAUGAAGAUAUGUACCCUUUUUCCUGUUAGAAUGUUUAUACAUAAAUUAAUUUUUCUAAGUGCACUGUAACUUCGUUUGGUAUGUAUAUUCUAAGAAGAUGAAGUUUACCAUGACAGGCAUUAACUAACUAACUCUGUUAGGUGACAAACACACACCGUUAUAAAAGCUACAUCUAUAUAUUAUAUCAACAAUUAUACCCCAAGUUAAUGAAUUUGAAAUUUUAUACCUAUCUACUCCAGAAUCAAAAUGUAGAUACAUAAUUUCCGUAGAAUAUCGACAUUGACACAAUUGAUUCGAUUUCGACAGAAAGGUACCAUCAGACAGCAAUGUGAUUGGAACAAGCUAUAUAUUUGCACAAACCAGCUUACAACAUCAAAACAAGACAUACCCCCAUAAACAAAAGCUGAAAAGAACAUGAAACAUACAACUUUGAGAAGACCUUUUCUCCCCGCCCACUUGGCUCAAAAUCACUCACUAACCAAAACGAAACUCACUCUCUUCGGCUUAAGCCCUCUCUCCCAAAACCUCCCAACCUAUAUAUGUAAUAAGAUAGUAGCAACUACUAUACCAUAAAAAUGACAAAAGCAGUAAUGAAGCAGGAGGAGAAAGAGGAUGAGCACACUUUCCCCGACUUUUUCCAGUCUCUUCGCUCCUUUCAUCCUCCUAAUCUUCAAGAAAGAGAGAAGAGGAAAUGGGUACCAAAAAAAAUUGGACCUUUCCUUCGAAUUCCUUUUGUCGUCCCCCCAUUGUAUAUAUAGCUGCACAAAUUUCUUACACCACUCCUAGUCCUUUUAGGUAAUGCCUCUCUUCAUCAGGCCAAUGUGUAGGUAGAAACAGAGACGUCUGCAUAAGGAGCAGUAUGAAUGUAGACGAAUUCCAUGCUUUUCCCAGCUGGUAGAGACUUGAUCCAUGCUGGGAAACCGUACGAGUUUCCGUACUUGGUCAGCCCCCAGAUGGGACCGUAGAGCUUGUUGAUGUAAAGCUUGAUGUUGUUCAGUGGCUUUGGUGAGUAGUUGGUCACUAUGGCUGAGUAUCUGUAGUAGGUUUUCCCUUGGUGGUUCCAGGAAGUUGUCACCUUUUGCUUGAUUGCAAUAGGUGCAGAGUUAGAAACUGUAAAAACAGAUAUCAGAAGAAGCUCUGCAAUGUCAAUACACAGCUAGCAAUUAAACCUACUCGAACCGAAAUUCGACAUCACCGAGAAACACGAACUACCUGGCGCAGGAGUAUAUUUAGCCACUGGAGCUUUGACAGGUGCUUUCACUGGAGCUUUCCUCUCCUGGCUAGGAGCUGGUACAACUUCUGCAUAACAAAAAGAGUCAAACACAUUUGAUCGUAUCUAAGCAACGAGUCCUCGAAACAUCGGGGCAAAAAAGAGAUGAAGUAGUUAUCUCUCUCGUCAGCAAAAUUGUCGUAAGCAUCGGGACCACCAACGAUUGCACCAGUAAGCUGAUUGGGGUCACUAGAUUUGCUGCUGAACCAGGUAGCGUAACCACCACGGCAGCUGAUAGGCCUAGGGUCCUUCUUGUAGGAGACAAUGGAGGAUGCCCUGUGGUGAACUUGUUGUGGGUAGUUGUUCCCGUAUCCAACCAUGUAACUAGUUGCCCUAGGAUUAUCACCCAAAAUGUAAUCCACCUGCAAAAAAAAACAAAAUUUAGAUUGAAGAUUAUAACCACAACAUAAGAAAAUUUCAAUUGAGACCACAUUUUCAAGUUGGUACCUGAGACUUGGCGAAUCCAAGGAGAUCAGAUGGGGAGGCAGUGCCUGCAGAGCAAUGCAAGCUCUUGCGAGAAGAGGACAAGUAAUCGGAGUAGACGGUUGCGAGGAAGGAAGCACUGGUGACGAACUGCAUAUUGUUCCAUCUCUGCCUGAAAAUCAAGCCACCUGGUGUCUUCUGAAUGUUUCUGCUUCCCUUUCCCAAGCAAGAACACAUGUAGUACUCAGCCUUCUGCUGGUACUUCUCGAACACCGGAGCAUAUUUGCCAGCUUUUCCUUGCAUCAAGAACUGCAACAAAUUGUAUUAGUACCAAACUAAAUAAAUCCGAUACCAUUUCUUAAAUUUCAAAAAUAAAAAACCCAUUCCUGAAUAAGGAUCAUGGUUUCAAACCUUGGAGACAAGGGUCUGAACACCAGCAUAUUUAACAUCCCAACCGAACUCGGUCAUUCCCCAUCCGGUUCCACCCAUUGACUCGCCAUUUUCAGCCAAGUAGCUCAAGUAGUACUGGUUGUUGGAUGCUUGGUACAUCCACGCUGCUGCCCACAGCAACUCAUCCUACACAAAGUAAUCAUACAGUACAAUUAAAAGUAAUUUUCACAGUUUCAUCCAAAUAUCUAACCAUUAACCUUUAAACCGGUAAAUCGAACCGGAACCAUUUUCUUACAUUGUAGCCACUGACAGAGCGGUAGUAUUUCUGAGCAACAGUGAUACUGCUGUCGUAUUUGCCUCUGUACUUGUUUGCAAAAUCAAACAGCUGAAAAGGUAAACAAACAACAAGAAGUUAGUUAUCAGUCAGUGUCAUUUCUGUAAUUUAGAGAGACUUAAAAGGGUGAUUAUUGAAUGGUUGAAAUGGGGACCAGACGUGCAUAGCCAGCCACCGACAACAGUCACGUGACUAUGGCGGGUAACUAAUUCCCAACUUUCGCGGGUCGUAUACGUGGACGGUUAAGAUCCAAUUUUCAUGGCGUACUAAACCCGAUCUGUACGGUUAUCAUAUAAGUCCCGUGAUAGACGGGGCCAAAUGCUAAACCAUGAAAGAUCCAAAAUAUGCGCAAUAUGAACACGACUAAUUAGAUUCUUAAAUUCUCAUAUGAAUGUAAUUUACUAUUUAUUAUUCCAUUUUGAUUAUUUUUCUUUUUUUUAUUUGAUUAUAAAUGGAAAAGGCGCGAACGUCAAGUUCGCUGAGACUAACCAGACCAAAAAGCGAGCAUUGCCGUAACUAUCCAUCCAUUUACUAGAGGAUUCGCUAAGAUGCGCUACAGUACCCCUACUACUAUCCCCCACUAACGUACACCGCUUACACAGUGGAAGAGAGUAGAAUUAGAUAAGCCGGCGGUGGUUAAGGUUUCACAGUUCACCAAUCGAAUCCAUGACCAAUAUAUAUUUGUGGAAUUGAAGGUUGAUUUGUUUAGGAUUCAGUUUAAUUCACCUGAUAUGCGUGGUUGAGAAGCUCGCGGGAGUAGGCAGGGUUAGAGCGGCGGAAAACAAUGGAUGCAGCAGCCAUGGCGGCGGCGGUCUCACCGGCGAGAUCCGACCCGGGGUUACUCGGGUCAAUACGGUAUGCACGGCGGUCGGUGGUCAUAUCCUCCGGCCUUUGCCAGCAGUAGUGAUCAGUCGUUCCAUCUCCCACCUAAUCACAAUUUUAAAAAAAAAAACAGAAUUAAUGAAAAUGACCGUAACAGAAACCAAACAAAUUAAUUAUUGAAGAAAAAAACCGUUCAAUUCCCUUUCCGACGCUUUCUUUACCUCUCCGUAAAGAACAUUAGGCUCAGGGUGAGCCUUGAUGAAGUAAUCAGUCCCCCACUUGACAGCUUCCAUGGCGUUUCGUAGCUCGCCGCUGGAUGCCAUCUGCUUCCCGUACUCAAUAAUGCUCCACGACAUCAUCGUGACGGUGAACGCCAUCGGAAGCCCAAACUUCACAUUGUCGCCGGCGUCAUAGUAUCCUCCGACCAGAUCCACCUGCCCAAAAAGAAAUCAAACCAAAAUUAAUUCCUAAUUCAAAAAACAAUUCACUCAACAUUGUUGUUGCUAGACUCACCCCACUGGCUUUGCCGUCAUUGAGACCGGAGUUAGAUCUCCAACUGAUACGCUGGUUAUGAGGGAGAAAGCCGGAGCGCUGAGCUUCGAAGAAGAGAAUGCUCUUGCUGAGAGCCUGACCGUAGUCAUGGCCGGCGAAAACAGAGGUGAAAGAACAGAGCAAGGAAAGAAAAAGCAGGGGAGCCACCGACAUUGCAAUGCGUCGAGAUUCAGAGUGGAUUAGUUUGGGGGAAUGUGGGUUAUGGUUUAUCAGAAGGCUUCUGAUAAACUCUACCACCGGAGAUUGAGAGAGCAGAAGGAGGAGGAAAUUGUGAGUGUGUGGAGGAGCUCAAAAGGCAGUAUAUAUUGAGAAGUGGGGGGGGGGGGGGGGGGGGGGGAGGGGGGGGGAAAGCAAGGUAGGUACGGGAAGAGGCAGAAAUUGGCAGAGCUCCAUUAAUGAAUAAGAAAGAAUGGAAUUAAUAUUUGAAAUAAUAAAUGAAUUUGUGAAAGAUUUAAGAUUUUUGAAAAUGGAGAAGAAAGAGAUGAAGGAAAGAACAGUGUCAUGUGGGAGAUGUCUCUUUGGGGCUUCACUGGAAGGUCGGUGUGGAUUUUACGAGCUUUCGGAAAUAUUUUUACCGCAUUUCUCGUUAAAAGUAAAAACAUCCUUAACAAAUAAAUUGACGAGUGCUAUUAUUUCGCAUAUUCAAGAUUGUUAAAAACCCUAUUAAAAUGGACAUCUUUCUCAUCAUUACACAAUUUAAAGAAUAAACCAUUUACGCUUAAGGUUUUAUCAAAAAAAAUUAUCGUUGAGGAGUUCAUACAUUACGUUCAUUUUUAUUGUUGAGUAUGAGGAAGGUACUUACUUAUCUUACGAUACGUCACAUACGAAUAUUUCAACGUAACUGUUUAGUUAUGAAAGCAGAGUAAUUAAUCGUCAUAUUUGAGAUGGGUAAACUAGUACGCAACAUACUGAUUGUAUAAUAAGUACAGUUAGGGUACCAUUAGUGACUCUCCUAAGUGUUUCAGAUUCUCUUUCAGUUUGACAUUACUAGUUUCUAUUUGUUUUAUCCUUUUGUUGUAUUAGUUGGAGGGCAAAUUGGGGAAAAAGGAAACAAAGGCAUAAUUACCGGAAGAAGAAAGGGGCAAGUCCCACUUUUGUUGUGUUGUUUCCUCGAUGUGAAUUCUCCACUUUGUCCUCUGUAUAUUACUGUAGUUUGUUAUUUUUGGCCCCUCAAUCAGAUUUUGCAGAAUCAGGUUUUUUACUGAACCGAAAUGGUAUUUAUGUUGGCUGGUUAGAAUUCGAUUUUGGUUCCAUUACUACUACUAGCCAAUGUGAUGGUGUGAAAAAUUUAUCUAUUUCCUUUUGUUAUUUUGGGUGGUAUUAUUUUCUUAUCUUAAACUAUAAAUAUAGGCUAUGCAGUCGUUUUCUUUGUACCCUUGUGUUCCAUGUGCAAGUUACAUGAGAUUGUGUUGUGGGGGGUGGACUUCCUCGGUUAAAUGGUCAAGAUCAACCAUUUUUCGGAUUAAAGGUGUAAUCAUGUAAUGAAAUUUUUGAAUUUUUGUAUGAGAUAUAACAUAAGAAAUAACAUGAAUUGUAUAAUUGGCCGAGUGUGGCCGAUGCUAGUAAGAUGAUUUGUAGCUUUGUAGCCUUCCCGAUACAUAUUAAGUAUCCAGCCAUAAUUCAGCAUCUCACAAACACGGUUGAUCCAGAACAGUAUUGGUGUGCGAUUUUGCCCUCCGAUCCUCCAGCUAGAAAAAACAGGACCGCAGACCUCUCACACAGACAGUACGCAAGCUUAUCACCGCUCCUCUCAACUCAACCCUGACGGUCUGUACAAAUCUUCAGAUACUCCUUCCUCCUGCCAAAGCGCCAGAGAUUGGAAUCUCAUUAAAUUGGGUGUUGUAAGUAAGUAAUCAAUGCCAGUCCCAGACAUGUAUAGCAACCAUGACACUGCCUUCUACAUUCAAAUUUUGAAUCUUUUAGUUUACAAUAUUUCAAAUGUUUGCUACUAUCUUGAUAUAAUAUCGUAUUUCAAAUCCUUAGUUUAUAUUAAUUCAAAAUGUCCAUUACUAGUUAAUCGUAGUUCAAAUUCAAAAUGUCAUUAAUGCAAGUACAGUAAAAUACUAGUUUAAACAUCAGGAAUGACACAGUCAGGAUAUAUAUGCGGCUGUCAUUGGGGGAAAAAAUUUACAGCAAAAUUUAAUGCAAACCAGUCAAAAAUAUUGUUUUUUUCUUUAUUAGGAAACCAAGUUAAGUGGUAAAUUUAGGAUGGUCGAAGAUGUCUCUAGUCAUAAUUAAAAUUUUAAAAAUGACCGUCAAUGAAUAUAAGUUUUGAUCAAUUUAAUCAUUUACGUUACACAAUUUCCAGAAUACUUUAGUCGAGAUUUGAAAAUAUCUCCGUCAAGAUUCGAAAGUAGCUAAAAAAAUCCGAAUUUUUUCCUAUGUUGAAUGAAGCAGUAGUGGGAGAGGUUAGUUUCAGAUGGAGCUCAUUGAUUACAGCAAGUAGUGGUGAUGAAAUUGCAGUAGUUAAUAUAAAAAUAUGUGUGAAAGGAAAGAGAUAGGUAUGUUUCCUGGGAACACAACUCUGUGCUGUAAGCUAAAUGCUCUUCAUCCCACGGCCUCCUCAACUACGCUAACUCGCUGAGCUUAAUUGAUCGAUGAUCAUGUGGGUGAUGAAUGACAACUGGGUAAUUAAAAUGUGUUACAUCUGUCUGACUUGUUGUCAAUCAACUCAUCAUAAUAAUCAAACCCACACCGACACUUCCAACUCGUCUUCUUCGCCCGGGGGUCAAUCUCGUGGCAUUUCUGCAUUUCCGCCUCUGCACUUUCCUUCUUUCGUCGUUUACUUUUAGUUAUAUCAAUAAUAAUAACCAGCAUCUUACUCGAUUUGACCGGGUACGUAUAAAUUUUAUCUUUUCAAAAUUUAGUUAUUAGGUUUAGUUUUUAAUAAAUCAAUAGAACAUAAGUGUUUAUAUUCAAUUAUCUAAUUUAAUGUUAUAAUAUAUAUAAUGAUGUAUUUUAAUUUAUUUAGUUUUAGUGGGGAAACACUAAAUUAUAGUAAAAGUUGACGUGUCACUUUUGAUUUUUCAUGCGCUUGCUAUUGCUAACAUGAUAUAUCUUUAUUGUUCGUAAAUGGAUCUCGAUGAGCUAUAAUUUUCGAUAGGGAAUUGCUAUCUUUAAAAAUAGAAAUAGUAAAUUUAUGAAAAUACUGAACCUUUAGUUUAUAUAAGGUUUAGAUGGCAGUUAUACUGAGGUGGUAAAAUUUGAAAUAUGAAAAUAUAAAAUAUUUAUUGUAGAUACUAAAUUGUUAUAGAGGCUACCAACCGGAGAAAUUAAGAUAAUAAAUAAGCAAAUACAAUUUAAGAAUCGUUUUAAACUGUGAGAUCAAUCUCAACAAAACAUGUGAGAUCAAUCUCAACAAAACAUGUGAGAUCAAUCUCAACAAAACAUGUGAGAUAUUAAAAAGACUUUCACGAGCCAUUGAGUGGGCAGCUCCAUUAGCAGACCACUGAAUAACCUUCACCUGGAGCCGAAGAUAAGUAGUUAAGGAGGCCAGAACCUUCGAAGUGAUGAUAUCGCUAGCUCCACGGGAUUGAGGGGUUGUCCAUUAUUGGGUGUCACUAGAUUCGAAGUAAAACCUUUAGGCUUUAGGUUAUCAAUCACAACUCUGUCAACUAAACUAUUCCAAUAAGAGGAGGAUCUGGUAGGGUGCCAAAAGAAGCCAUGUUUCAUCAUGAGCUAUAAAUUAUGAUAUAUAUGUAUGAUCAUUUCGAGUCCGUCUCAAGGAAUUUUAGAUUUGGCUCACUGCAAUGUUGUUUCGACUUGGUACUGAAUAUAUAUUAAUUAUAUUUUUUUGGCCCAAUAAUCAAUAAAAUUGAUCAUAAUUUUGAAUUAAAAAUCCAAAAAACGUCGAUGAUACAUCCAAUCUUUAAGACAACAUCGUUUAACUAAAAACAAAAAAAUGAAUAAUUUUUUUAUAUUUAAACUUUGUAUAUAUUAAAAAUAUAUACACAUGAAUUGGUUAUUUAAUAUAUAAAUUUUCAAUUCAAAUUUAACUUUAUGUAUGUUUCGAUUCGCCAAUAAUCCAAAUUUAUUAAGGACAAAGUAAUGGAGAAUUAAGAAAACUGGAUAAAAGGGAAGGGGGGAGAAAUGACAAAAGGAGGAUGCGGUCAAAGAAAGACAGGGUGGGCCCUCCAUUUCCAACCGCAAUCAACGGUCUUUCCCUCCGCUGAAAAAAGGGUUGAUUUUUUUAUAUAUUCACACCAAGAAAUGAGAAAGCAAGAAGAAGAAAUAUUAUUAAUUUAUUAUUGUAAUUUAAAUUUGUUGACAGAUGGAGACAACGUGGCACACCUCCGCAUUAACCGAUUGGGGCGGCGCCGGUUAUGUCACGGCCACGGAAGAAGCACUUCUUCACCGGUGAUGAAUGCCUAAUAAGCCGGUGAGGUGACUCCUCCGAUGCAGCUGCUCUAAACAUCACACGAGCUACUGCCACACAGCGUCUCUUUUUUUAGGAGAGAUCGAGAUAGCGCACAUAAACAAAAAUUAAAUAUUAAUUCAAUUCGUGAGAUCGAUUUCUACACGAGCGAGGAGAUAUGAAAGAAUCUGUCUCACCACUUUAAAAAAUUGACAUUACAUUUUCAAAAAUUUGAAGGUUUAUAUUAUACACAUUUAAGCUCUAAUUUUGACUAUGUAAUCGUUUUAUUGAUGAUAUUUUGAAGAGUAAAUGUUCAUCAUUCUUCAAUGUACUAUUCAUACUCAUUGUCUUUUAUCAACUAUAAGAGACUCACUCUACACAUCUGUCUAUUGUACAUCCAUGGAUCUGUCACUAGUUUAUUAUAAAAAUUAUCAAUAAUAUAUCAAUUCCUCAAUACUUAAUAGACUAUUUUGUCCAUUGAUAUUGAACGAAUUGACAUAUUUAUAAAGUUUCGUUACAAUAUCAAAUUUUAGGUACUAUAUCGNNNNNNNNNNNNNNNNNNNNNNNNNNNNNNNNNNNNNNNNNNNNNNNNNNNNNNNNNNNNNNNNNNNNNNNNNNNNNNNNNNNNNNNNNNNNNNNNNNNNNNNNNNNNNNNNNNNNNNNNNNNNNNNNNNNNNNNNNNNNNNNNNNNNNNNNNNNNNNNNNNNNNNNNNNNNNNNNNNNNNNNNNNNNNNNNNNNNNNNNNNNNNNNNNNNNNNNNNNNNNNNNNNNNNNNNNNNNNNNNNNNNNNNNNNNNNNNNNNNNNNNNNNNNNNNNNNNNNNNNNNNNNNNNNNNNNNNNNNUUUCUACAAUAAAAAAAAGCGAUCAAUAAUGUUACUGUAAGUCUCUCAAUAAGAGGAAUACUGAUCAAAUUUUAGCUAUACCAGAAAAACCCCAUAUGUAUUUCAUUUUUUCAAAACGAGUGAUUUAAUUUUGUAAUAUUCAAUAAUGUUCUAGGAUCGGUUUUUUUUCCUUAUAAUUUUUUUUUUUCUUUUUCUUUUAUAAUACCAUUUUAUUUAACUUUUUUACUCAUAUUUUUUUUCCUCACUUGACUCAAUAAAAAAACUUACUUUUAUAGAAAGAAAAAUAAGUUUCCAUGUAUAAAAUCGUCUGAAUCCAUAAAUUUGGAGUGUCCAUAAUGCUUAAAAGCCCAUUUUGUUAAUUGUUCAUGCUCAAAAGAAUGUCUUUCAUAGUCUUGGCAAUGGGUAGGAUACGGAGCGGAUACCUUCUAUUCAUUACCCGUGAAUAAUGCCUACGUGUUUUAUUUGUCACCGACCCAUUAAGUUUGAUGGGUAAAAAAUUAUUACCAAGCCCAUAUUGGUGCGGUUUUCGGGUAAACCCAUAGUUGUCGGGUAUACCCAAUAUGAAGUAAAAUUACUCAGAAUUCAGAAACUGGAAUAUAAAAAGUACCCAGCAAAUAUGAAUCCAAAGCUAAGAACAUUUACCCAGAUUCCAGAACUUUGGGAAAUGAACUCGGAAAGAAAAGCACAAGCUGAAGUCCGAAACCCUAAAAAUUGUUUAUAUAUCAUAGAAAAAACGACGUCGUUUUGUAAUCGGAUCGGUGAUGGGUCGGAUAUCCCAUUAACCAUGACCGCCCGUUGCCCGAAUUUGGCGGGUCGUGGGUGUGCCUGAAACCGACAAAAACCCACGGUUGAUGGGCACAAAUCGGCUCAAAUCGGGCGGACUCCAACGGAUACCCGAAACCCACGAGCCUGCUACCAAACCUGGUCUUUGAAUUCUCUCUCAAAUUUAGGUGCAAAUAUGUAAUUAAGUCCAUUGAAAUCAUUUACUUAAUCUCUCAUUUUUAAUUUGGUUGAUGCAAUGACUCUCGCUUGCGUGGUUAAUUCGGAGAAUGUGUGUUGGGUGCUUUUAACAAAUUGUUUAUUUUUCUCUUCUUUUGUUUUUGGGUUGAAAGUUAAAAAUCAAGAAUUGUUGUAGAACAACGUAGCUAUCUAUAUUAAUGACUGUGUGCAACAAUAAUUGGGCGAAGUAAUUAAUGAUUGUGAAGGGAUACGCAUGCAUGCACAUGGCUUCUCUCAAAAUUAUUUUGAUGGACGAGAGAGCGUAGCUAAUUAAUCAUUUACCAUCUCUACCCUUUUUCUACGAAUAUUAAUUUAAUAAUUCUAAUUCUGAAUUAUCUUUGAUUAUUCUAAUUUAUUAGGGGAUAUAUCAUUAGGGACAAGGCAGCAUGAAGCAUCGAGAGAGACGAGGCAUGUCCCAAUUUGACACCAUAAUUACCAACUUUGUAACCAGAACCAAAAGUAAAAGAAGCAACAAUUAAUUAAUUAAUUAAUUAAAGUGGGCUUCGCCUGCUUGCUUGCAAUCCAUUUCUUCCCAGAAUCACGCAUUCGGAUGCAGUCAAUCGGGGGACCAAAGCUCUCUUCUUUACCUUUACUUUGGAUGUUUCAUGUGAAUGAACAGAAUUGUAUGGGGCAUAAGUAAUAAGUAAAGGGUUAAAUCAUGGGUCCAGGAUGACACGUGAGAAUAAAGGGCUAAGCUAGCUAGCAAACACACAUGGCCCCCAUUUAAAGUCAUUCCAACCGAACCCAAAGGUUAAUAAUAAUAGUAGUAGUAUGAAUGCACGGUUGGUUUGAUGAAUGAAAGCUAGAUAGGGCAGAGAGAAAUGGAAGAUGGAGAAGUGAUGAAUGAAAUGAAUGGAUGAAUGCCCCCACUUUUUCUAUCUUCUCAUGUCAAACCAUCCACAUUAUAUCAAAAAGGAAGGGGACCCUUAUCACCUAUCACCAACCAAAUCUCAAUUCAAAUCUAUCUUUGCUAGCUUUUUGGUACUUGCUUAUAUAUACUCAAUUCAAUUUGCACAUCAUACCGAAUAAACAUGCAUCAUUAGUUUUGUUCCGUCGAAUAAGAUUGGUGGGUAUAUAUAUAUAUAAGUGAUUCAGACUGAAGAAUCAAAUUGAUUGAUGAUUGAUGACCCUAAGGCGUCUCCGUAAGUUUCUUCACGCAAAAAGUCAGCGAGAGAGUGUGGAAGAGGGGGUUGAGGGGAAUACGAGAGGGUGUGGGCUACAAAGUAAGUAUCGAGGAAAAUGAAAAGUAGAGGAGAAAAUAAUAAUAAAAUCCUUCUGAAGAUGACUAAAUUUAUCAUGCAUACAUCCAUGGAAAUCAAUCUACUUAAUUACAUAAUAUCUUCCAAAAUCAAGUCCAAAGAUCUCGAGGCCCCCACAAUUGAGACAAAAGCUAGUUAAAGAUGUUUUCUUCAAACAACUUUGCUCUUUUAUGUUAUCUUAAAUUAUUUUAAACCAAGUUCUGCAUGAUUUUCUGGACUUUUUAUUAAUAUUAUUAUUAGGAAUUAACAGUGCCGAAAUCCCCAAGUUUAGGUAUGGAUUGUGUUGAAAGAUUUGAGUUCCUCUCUACGUACGCGGUGAAACGUUCUCACCACUUGCGACGAUAGUACUAAUAAAACAAAUGACAUAAUUAAAAAUAAAUAAAUAAGCAGACGUUUGACAAAGUUGGAUGUAGAAUUAUUUUACUUUUUUCAUGCUCUAGUUGUAUUUUUCGAUAAAUUUAGGUAUUAAUCAAUAUAUAUUUUAAUUAACAAAAUAAAAGUUGAUAUGGUGAGACGUAACAUUUGUGCGUGAUGCAAAUUUACACUGGAGGAUUCGUCUUCAAAAAUUAUGAGGGUACUAAGAAAAUUUUAUCCUACUUUACGGUAGUUAUUAUAUUCAACUAUUACAAAAUUUAGCCAAUUUAAAUUAUUUAUUUAAUUAAAGGAUAUCUUUUAUCUAUUCAUAAAAAUACCCUCUAAUUAAUCAAAUAAUUUAAUUAAAUUUCCACUUAUGAAUCUCCAACGAAUUCCCCACAAAAAAUUAUUGUCGGGGUUGUUUUUUUUUUUUUUGUUUGGUGGGGUGUGUUUAUUAUGUGUUUUAAUGUAAAAUGAUGAUUUAUGUUUUAAAGUCUUUUGAAGUUGGAUAAUGUGGUCGUCUUAUGUUUAAAAUUUUAAUUAAUAAGUUAUGCGGGGAUGGGGAUACCCAUUGGUAUUUGAAACCCACGAGUAUUCGAAAUCCACGAGCUUGAGAUGUGUAUGAAUAUUGAUAUUUGGAUGAGGACGAGGAUGGGGAUGAAUUUUAUAAAUAGGUAUAGAGAUGGGUAUAGGUAUCUCGUCCGAAACCCGCCCCAUUGCCAAGUGUAGUUGUGAAAAUGAAGAACAAAUCAAGGGUAGUUUGGGGAUUUGAAAAAUAAUAGAGUGUUAGAACAACCCGCUAAUUGAAAUACCACACCCCAACCCAAGUAUUUCAAAUACCAUCAAAACCCACUAUUUCAAAUACCUCAUGCCAAAAUACUACUGAUUCUGUUUCAAAUGCCGAACGUGAUAUUUUAGCUCAAAUACCACUUCCAAAUACUCAAUCCAAACGAGGCAUAAAUUUUUAUUAUAUGCGUGUGAUUAUACAAAACCCAAAUCAAUUAGUAGUGCCCUAGCUACCGGUUAAUAUAAGUCUAAUAAAUUGAUAAAAACAUAUAAAUCUCUAACAAAGCAUAUUAAUUUGUAACUGUCCCAAAUUGAUUCCAGUGAAUAGUUCAAUACUUUAGAUGUAUACGAGGAAGGCAAGCCAAUGGAGCCCGAUCUAUUUGUAGUUGUAAUAAAUGAUCCAACACAAUUAUACAUAUUACCUCGAACAUCCCAACGGUAAAUACGUACGUAGUUGAAAAAAAUAUCGUCGGCGGCCGGCGACUAGUACUGAACUAGCUUAACCACCAGAUGUCCGGAAACGAAAUGCCAUUAAGAAUGAUGCCCUCUUCAGGGCAACUAAAUUGUAUCUCCACCGUCCAAUUUUAAGCUUCUGAAGCCCCCGCCCACCAUCACCCUCCGAUCUAAAACGGUCCCACAUCAGAACAUCAUCCACGAGCUUCUUCAAUUUCGGAAAGAUCGCAAUCAACGGCGAUUGGCUGUCCCUGUAGCUGGAUCCGAUGGGGCGAGAGAAUUCAUCCCUACCGCAUGUGGUUGCACGUGAACCCUCAUGCGGGUUGCCCCUCCCCCUAAUAAUUGGGAAUUUUUGGGGGUUAAGAGGAAACUAAUCAAUCAUGCAUGUAUUUGUGUAAUUUGUGAGUCGUGAUCGUAUAAGGCUAACACGUUAAUUAUUUGGAGUUUGGUUUAAUUUUGCUUAAGGUUAUAAUAAUAGUAUAAUUAAUCAUUCGAUUUGGAAUGAACAGUGUGUUGUUCUGUUCUGUUCUGUUCUGUUUUGUCAUCCACAAAUAAUAAUAUAUAUAACGAUGAUAAUGUGUUGUUUCAUCAAUCAUUAUGUACCUUUUUUGUUUUGAUACUUUUGGCAUGGCCAUGAAAUAAAACACCACGUCCCUCUGCAAUUUCCUGUCUCCUCUCACUCUCUCAUUUUAUCCUUCAUACUGUGUAUGUAACAAUUGUCUAUUUGUCUAGUGUUAUAAUGGAUCUUAGGGAAUGUUGUAAGCGACAACUCUCAGUGGAUAUUGUCACAUAGAAAGUGAAGACAGUCUUCCACUGAGUUAGUGCCUUCUCCCUAUCCGUUAAUUAAAUCACAGUUUUCACCUAAAAUUGAAGUUCAACGUGAACUCUAGUUUCAAUUCUCAUGUUUAGUUAUUAAAUCAUUAUUGGUGCCAACAGUUUGCGAAAAUAAUUAUAACAGUAAUUUUUUUGGCUUCCAAGGUCACUACGUGAGAUUACCGAUACAUGGUAGAGGAGUUUAACUAUACAUCAGUCCUACGUGUAUAUAAAAUAUAUGACGUGGAAGUACGGUCAACCAAAACUGAAAGUGCAAAACAAAACAAGGUUGGGAAACAAGCUAGCUAGCUAUUCAUGCUCUUUCUGCCUCUCCCCUUCUCAUCUCUCAACAUUUCGCGUCAAAUCUUUCGCAGCUAAUCUUUCCAUCCAUCUUUGCUCAACCGGCUGCGCGAUGCAAGACCUUUCGAGGACAAGCUAGGCGUGACGGGCAUUGCUGAUGGAGUCUUAGGCAUCUCUUCAUCACCACCACCAUCAUCAUCAUCCCAACCGUCUCCCCAGUUGUUGUCCCAUCCAUCAUCUGAUUGCGUCUUCUUCCCCAUACCUGAAACAGGCAAGUCCAUGUCUAGCCUUUGGUAAUUUGAGCUUGCAUUGUUGGACAGUUUCCUCCUCCUUGCUAUGGUAAUCCACAGCCCACGCGCUGAUGCUGCUACAAUUAAUAACCCAGCGAAGCAUGCUAGGAAGAGAGGGAGAUUGGAGGUUGUUGCAUAAGUGGACCCUUGAGAGUUUUCUAUGUUGUCUGAUCCGGAGUGAUGAUCGAUCAGAUCAGUUAUGUCAAGGCUGCAGCUGCUGCUGGCUCCCGUCUUUAGAACGAUGGAGCUCUCCCGUCCCUUGCCAUUGAUGGACACUUUGACCUGUGCAGUCAUGAGUCAUGACCAGCAAACAUCAUCCUUUUGCAGGGUAAUAGUAAACAAGGAAAAGCCAAAUGCAAAUUGUCUAAGCUUGUCAGGGAAAACAAAUUCAGAACUUUGCAUAAGAAUUUUGAGAAUGAACAAACAAUAAUGUUUAGGAAGUAUGGCAGCAUGCAGCUAGAAUUCUUACACUUGCAAAUCAUUUCCAGUACGAUCUAUUGAGAAAUGAGUAUCAAGAAGCAAAAGCAAGAGUUGCGUUUUUGUGCAAUCUAACAGAACAUAACAGAGAGUAACGACAUUGCUAAACAACAAGGAGAGGGCAUGGUUGAAUUCGCAAUUUACAAAUUUCUGCGCCAGGCACAUAAAAAUAUCGUUCUGAACAAUGUUCUAAGGGGGGAUAUAGUACCUUUUUGUGUUCUUUUUGCUGCAGUUGAAUGCUUUUCUUCUCCAGCUGAACAAACUCCGGACUCAAAAUCAUGACGCUGACUGGAACUUCUCCAUCGUUCUGAAUCAGAAGUAAUAGGUCUGGAGAAUCUGGGAAUCAUGAUUGAUCAACCCUCAUAAUUCAGACAUUGCAAUCUGGAAUAGUAGUAUUAGGAGAAUUUGUGCUUCUAAAUGUAGAACUAGACAAAAGAAAACUAAUCCCAAUAGGCCUACUCAUCACUAAUUUCAGUCACCAUUCAGCAUGUACAAAGUAUCUAACUCUCAGAAACUUCCAAACCAAAUGAACUCAAACAAGUUCUAGACUCUAACAGAGAAUUAAAGCAACUUGCUAAAGAAGGAAACACAUACAUACCAUUUCCAGGAACUCUAAUGCAAGCAACCAGAUUGCUGUCCUGAAUCAAGCACUUGUUGGAAGGAUCACAUUCUUCACCAUGUGAAAUCUCCUUCCCUCCUUGCUCAUUCUUUAAAUCCACCUCCUCCUGUUUAGUUGCCUUCUCAUCAUUCAGCUUCUCAUUUCCACUUUGCCUAGCAUUACCUUCACUGCCUUUACCAGUCUCCUUAUCCCCAACUUGGACGUUCAAGUCUUUCUUUUCCCCACCAUUAACAACACCACCUUUCUUUACCUCAUUCACUUGAUUCACAACUCCUUUAUCCUCCUCCUCCUUUGGGUUUUUUUCGUUUUGCCCACCAUCAUCUGUAACACCUAAUUUCAGCUCGCCAGCUUUCUCGUUUGAGCUGUUGUUAGGUUUCAACUUCGGAUCCGGAUUGUUUUUCCCAUUCACAUCCACCUGCUCAAUCCAAGCUUCAACACAGAAUCAAUUACCCACCCAAAAGAAAGAAAUUAAACAAACCAAACAUUCCAUUGAUUACCUUUGUAUCAUCAGCCCAGGACAAGCCAGCGAGGAGUAAUACAACAACAAGAAGAAGCAGAACCCGAAGAUGAGCUAGAUCGAUUUCCAUAUUUGGGAGAAGAAGCUAGUUCCUUAAAUCAGCAAAGACCACUGUUGGGUAGCAAAGUAAAACACACAAGGACCCAAUGAUUCAAAUCUUUCAGGCGGGUUUUACGAAACCAGAUGAAAAAGAGUGAGGAACUAGAAAGAACGGACCUCGGGGGAAAUCAGUACCGUUGACUGGUAGCUGUGUCGCAUGGUGAUUAGCUGUUGAAAAUACGCUGUAGAGGAGAUGAUUGAUUGAUUAUGAAAGGGUGGCGUAUUGUUCUGGGGAUUGGGACGAAGUUAGCAGAGGAGACGCAAGGUUGACCAAUGCUUACAGUCCUUUGCCUCCUCUUCCUACUUCUUCUUCUUUUUACCUUUUUUCCUAUUUUAGUAUUAUUAUUCUCUGUUUUUUACUUUCCUUUUUUAAUCCAAGCUAGUUGGAUCAUGGUUGAAACUAACAAAUGGGCUUCUGAUGGGCUUUCUUGAUAUCUGUGAGCGUUUCCGUAAAACCCAAUAAGCCUCUAAUUGACCCACCCAUUUCCAACCCUAGACACUCAUAUCCUCUUUAAUUGUAUAACCCUAUAGUGUAUAUAACAAGAAGGUACAACUUGAGGAAGUAUAUCAUGUUCUUGGAAUCAAGAAGAACCUGUUGUCUAUUAGUCAGCUCACAGUAACAAGAAAUUACGUCGUGUUCGGCUCAGAAGAUGUCAAAGUCUGUAAGGAGGUAAAAGUAGUUGGUGCACCCCUAAUGAAAGGAGUAAAGAAGAAUACCAUUGACGGGAUGUCUGUUAAGUCGGCUUUUGUAGACCAUACAAGAAGAAACGACACGGUCGACUUGUGGCACGCGCGACUUGGUCAUGUCAGCUAUCAUAAGCUGAAGGCGAUGAUGAAGAAGCAUGUUGUUAAAGGUCUUCCCCAAAUGGAGUUCCAAGAUAACAUAGUCUGUGCAGGAUAUCAAUAUGGUAAGGCACACCAACUUUCCAAUGAAGAAUCACACUAUAGAGCAAGAGAAUCUCUAGAGCUUAUUCACUCAAACGUAUUGUUAACCACUUGUCAAUCAGUGGAUGUUGUUACAUGGUUACAUUCAUUGAUGAAUACUCCGAAUACGUAUGGGUGGACUUCAUGAAGGAGAAGGGAGAAACAUUCUCAAAGUUUAAGGAAUUUAAAGAGAAGGUAGAAAGUCAGCUCGGGAGGAGGAUAAAAACAUUACACACAGAUAAUUGGGGAGAGUAUACAUCUGAUGAGUUUCAAACCUAUCUGAAGGAUAACAAGAUACGUUGACAAUUGACAUGUCCAAGAACGCCUCAACAACACGGGUCGCUGAGAGGAAGAAUAGACACCUUGCAGAAACUGUUAGGAGUAUACUACAUGCCAAAAAUGUACUUGGAAAAAUUUGGGCCGAGUACAUGAAGACAGUUGCCUACAUCAUCAACAAGCUACCUCAAGAAAAGUUAAUAUUCUUAUCACCAUUUGAAAAGCGAUGGAACGUGAAGCUCACAAUUGAUCACCUUAGAAUUUUUGGAUGAAUAUGCUACAUACUAUCCUCAAAGCCAGAGCCAGGAAGUAGUAAAUUCGACAAGAAAGCAAAGGAGUGCAUCUUUCUUGGAUAUGACAGUGAGCAGAAAGGCUGGAGGUGUUGUGAUCCAACAACCAACAUGUGUAUCGUAGACAAAGCUGGCCAUACUUAACUGGAGUUCAGCUAAAGCGAAGACGAUUAGAUAGAAUAGAACACUGAACAUUAUUUGUCAAACCAAACCGUAAAUAUCGUUAAUUGAUUGCACGAAACAAGUUCCGAGUUCGAUACGUAACAAACAAAACACAAGACCAAAAGGCACAAGUCUACCGGUACACAUUAAGAUAAGACGACCACCAACAACCAAAAAUAGAACACUAAAGCGAAAUAAAAAGUGUUUUUAACUUCCAAGCCCCGCUACCAUUCACUCUCUUUCUAGCACUUGACCUCCUUCAAAGCCUGGGGGAGGUACAGAAAU
rnacentral:lncRNA from 1 species